rnacentral:rRNA from 1 species
UACGAAGGGGGCUAGCGUUGUUCGGAAUUACUGGGCGUAAAGCGCGCGUAGGCGGUUUUCCAAGUCGGGCGUGAAAGCCCCGGGCUCAACCCGGGAACUGCGUCCGAUACUGGCAGGCUUGAAUCCGGGAGAGGGAUGCGGAAUUCCAGGUGUAGCGGUGAAAUGCGUAGAUAUCUGGAGGAACACCGGUGGCGAAGGCGGCAUCCUGGACCGGCAUUGACGCUGAGGCGCGAAAGCCAGGGGAGCAAACGGG